UGAAGCCUAGCAUAAGCUUUUAAAGCUGCAGCCUUAAUUAAAAAAAUGGUUGUUUUUAUUAAAAACAAGGCAGAAUAGAUGAUAUCCUUCAACCUUCAUUUGACUCAGGGGGAACACAAAGAAAAACUAGCCCCUAGUUAUGGAAGAUAAAAGACAACAGCAUAGCUCUCACAAACAAUAAAAGAAAUGGCAGACCUGUUUCCAGACUGUAUGGCUUCAGAUGACACACAGGAUUCAUCUCAUAUUCAUUCUGACAAGUCCUUCAAGUCCAGAUGUCUUUGGAUGGGAUGGAUGGCUUGUGUGUAAAUUUAGCAUUGUCCUGUUCUUCCAUAUUAUAUAUGAAAGGUCACUUGCAGGAAUCUCAAAAAUCAGGCCAGUUUUUCAACUUCUGAAGGAUUAUUAACUUCAAAGUCGGAAGAAAUGUCGGCCUUCUAUGUUUGGAAAUGCCAGCAGCCUUUGCAUAUCCCCACCACAGUACCAAGCAACCCCCAGCAGAGAGGAGCGAUUACUGCCUCGGUGGCGAGAGGAUGGCUUUUGAUCUCCUAACAUAUUGGAAAUUACUUAAAGGGGUCCUAUCCUCUUUUGCACCUGACCAUCCUAUCAGCAACUGGAAUGGGUGGGGAAUGGGAUCGGCAUCAAACCUUUUGAGAUGCACCAAUCAGAUAACAAAGAGUAGAGGAAUGGCUGUGCUCCUGCACUCCUAAGAUCAGAGUGGACCUGAUACAUUUCGGCACCUGAGGCGAUCCACAAAACGGUGUGUGCGUCUCCCUGUCAGGGAAGAAUGGUGUGACUUAAAUACAUAAAGACCAAGUCUUGCUACACACUGAGAUGAAGUGCCUAACUCUGUAUUCAAGACGAUGAAUUGAAAAAGUGGAGUUUAAGAAGGGGAGCUUUUCAGCCAGAAGAAUUUGAACAAGAGCUUGGCCUGCAGCCUGCCAAGGGAUGAUAUGGAAAUUGUGGAACAUCACUUCCCUGGGGGUCAUUUGCAAAUUGUUCAUCUAACAACCAGGAGAAGGAACUAUCCCAUUUUAAAUAUUUAGGCUGAUAUACUGAAUACUGAUACCGAAGCAACCCUUGGCAAAAUCGAACAAGAUAUCACACGCAAAUGAAAUGAUGCAACCAUGAGUUAAGGAACGGAGGGAGAUCGAAAAGGCAACUGCGGUGCAGGGUGAGGAGGUGGGUCUGUUUUAAGCCAGGGGAGGGGACCUCAUUGAGGACUCCUUCAGUGAGGACUCCUUUGGGAGUCCCUAUCAGCUCCACCAUUCUGAAUCCCUGCUUCCACACCUGCCUAUAACUGGCCAAUUUUGCAGAUGGGCCAAUUUGAAUUCCCACAGCCAAUGGGAGAGGUUGUUAUGUCUUCCGUUGGCUGUUGGAGCCUGGCAAGGAGAGGCUGGGUCAUGGUGGCAUGGAUAUGCCGGGCUGUAACUGCCAUGCCACUUUUAGGUAAGGUCAACACAAUUAAUUUCAUGGGAUUAAAUGAAAUUCUUGUGAAAACAAUGUAGUGUAUGUAUAACUAUGGGGGGGGGAGGUAGUUAGCACCCCAAAGUAAUGGGCCAUCCACCCAAUAAUACAUUUUAAAGGAUCUGCUUAAAGGAAGAGUAGGGGAAUGGUCAUUCUGUCUACUAAUGUCACUGUUAACCAUUCUGUGCAAGAGCAACAGGGCCCUGCUGGAAACGUAUACACUCCACUUUCUCUUUUGGGUUAAAGCCAAAUGUUGCCAAAUCCAGAGAGAUGGCAUCAGAAACCCAGGCUGCUUCCCACCAUUUCAGAGCAAAAAUAAUGACAAAGCUGUCCUACACAAUUAGCCAUUCUCGCCCUCUCUCAUGCUUCUCUGAUUGAAUUAGCUACAUACUUGUAUGGUUCAGCAGUUCUCCCUCUUAAUUUCAAUCCAGCAGUGUUUUUGCUUAAGGACGGCAUAGUAUCAGUCAAGCAGGUAUUUAAUCAACACAAACUACAAAUGAAACCAGUGACCCUGUUCGCAUGCAAUGCUAAGCCAAACCAAACCAAACCAUGGCUUACAGUUCAUGAUUUGUCAAACUUGUUUCAGAUGACAGGGCCAAGCCAAACCAUGGUUUAGCUCACCGCAGCACAGCAGCAGCAGGACCAGAC